rnacentral:rRNA from 1 species
UUCGGAUUGAAGUUGCUUAUGACUGAGUGGCGGACGGGUGAGUAACGCGUGGGUAACCUGCCUCACACAGGGGGAUAGCAGUUGGAAACGGCUGAUAAUACCGCAUAAGCGCACAGGAUUGCAUGAUCCGGUGUGAAAAACUCCGGUGGUAUGAGAUGGACCCGCGUCUGAUUAGCCAGUUGGCAGGGUAACGGCCUACCAAAGCGACGAUCAGUAGCCGACCUGAGAGGGUGACCGGCCACAUUGGGACUGAGACACGGCCCAAACUCC